CAGCAGCCGCGGUAACACGUAGGGCGCAAGCGUUGUCCGGAAUUAUUGGGCGUAAAGAGCUCGUAGGCGGUCUGUCGCGUCUGGUGUGAAAUCCCGAGGCUCAACCUCGGGCUUGCAUCGGGUACGGGCAGACUAGAGUGCGGUAGGGGAGACUGGAAUUCCUGGUGUAGCGGUGGAAUGCGCAGAUAUCAGGAGGAACACCGAUGGCGAAGGCAGGUCUCUGGGCCGCAACUGACGCUGAGGAGCGAAAGCAUGGGGAGCGAACAGGAUUAGAUACCCCUGUAGUCCCUGUCUCUUAUAC
rnacentral:rRNA from 1 species